UACGUAGGAGACGAGCGUUGUCCGGAGUUACUGGGCGUAAAGGGCGCGCAGGCGGCCUGUCAGGUGUCUGGUGAAAGCUCCCGGCUUAACUGGGAGAGGUCCAGGCAAACCGUCAGGCUUGAGCGUCGGAGAGGGGCAUGGAAUUCCGGGUGGAGCGGUGAAAUGCGUAGAGAUCCGGAGGAACACCAAUGGCGAAGGCAGUGCCCUGGCCGACGGCUGACGCUCAUGCACGAAAGCGUGGGGAGCAAACAGG
rnacentral:rRNA from 1 species